UUUAAGUAUAAACAUAAGUUUUUGCGCUCAACUUUAAUAGUUCGUUUUAUUUGAAAACUUUUUAUAAUUAGUAUUUUUGUUGUUAUGAGAUGAUAAAAACUUUACUCGUGACUUAUGUUUUUAUUUUUUUAAAUAAGACGGACGGUUAAAGUUAGACGUGGAAAAUUAUGACUGUACUUAAA
rfam:Oryza rufipogon genomic scaffold, chr03